UCUAUUUAUCAUUGCCUUUAGUUUUCUCAAUUACGCCAUGCGUUGCCUCCUUUCGUGUGUUUGUUAAUUUUGUGCUUAUGUAAUUAAUUUAAUACUUAUGUAUAUAAAAAACUAAAAAUAUGGUGUUAUGACUUGUGUGAUUCGGGUAUUGCUUUGGCUCCUUGGCAAACUUGCCUUUCAUGGAAAUUUGGCAAUGUUUUAUAAGUGAUACUUGAACCACAACUAUGGAUUGAAUUUCCUCAAUUUGAUCUUAGCCUUUUUUGAUACUGAAUUACAGAUACACUCUAGCAACAAUG
rnacentral:misc_RNA from 1 species